rnacentral:rRNA from 1 species
UACAGAGGUCUCAAGCGUUGUUCGGAUUCAUUGGGCGUAAAGGGUGCGUAGGCGGCGUGGUAAGUCGGAUGUGAAAUCUCGGAGCUUAACUCCGAAACUGCAUUCGAUACUGCCGUGCUUGAGGACUGGAGAGGAGACUGGAAUUUACGGUGUAGCGGUGAAAUGCGUAGAUAUCGUAAGGAAGACCAGUGGCGAAGGCGGGUCUCUGGGACGGUACUGACACUGAGACGCGAAAGCGUGGGGAGCGAACAGG